rnacentral:tRNA from 1 species
GUGGCUCAGAAGUUAAGAGCGCUGGUUGCUCACUCCAGAGGUCCUGAGUUCAAUUCUCAGC